UACGAAGGGGGCUAGCGUUGCUCGGAAUUACUGGGCGUAAAGGGCGCGUAGGCGGACAGUUUAGUCAGAGGUGAAAGCCCAGGGCUCAACCCUGGAAUUGCCUUUGAUACUGACUGUCUUGAGUACGGGAGAGGUGUGUGGAACUCCGAGUGUAGAGGUGAAAUGCGUAGAUAUCGGGAGGAACACCAGUGGCGAAGGCGACUACCUGGCCUGUUCUUGACGCUGAGGCGCGAAAGCUAGGGGAGCAAACGGG
rnacentral:rRNA from 1 species